rnacentral:lncRNA from 1 species
GAAAGUAUAAAAACAAGAUUGGCUUACUAUGGGAACACAGACAGUUCAUCUAGAAAAAUGGUCCAGAAGGUAAAGCAUACGGUGCAGAUGCCAUAAGUGGAUGGAUUUGGUGGUGGGAAUUUGAGGAAACCCUCUUCAGAUUGCUUCAUUUUCCCAGUGAUACAGGAAGCAAGUCAUCAGCCAAUAGUGCGGGUGUGUGAGGACGCCUAGGGGAUUUCUGAGGUGAGCCCCUGCCUCUUACCUCUUGACCUUCAAAUGUAGGAUGGUCACUUGCAGAUAAGUCCUAACUCCAACCUUUAUCAUGCUGAGUCCAGCCCUUGAGGACCCCUUCACAAGCACAGAGGUUCAAAUGGAAGGAAAACUGGAAAAUCCACAGAAUCAAUAAGAGAUAUAUGCUUUGGAUUAGAGCCGAAGGUGAAACUUGAUGAUAAACCCUUGGAUGUUUCACGUGGUGUAAUUUCAGUGGUAACUGUGAACAUUUUGUUUAUUCGUACUGUUCCAACAUGGGCAGGUCUGGGCAAACCUACUCCCAAAGUCCAAGGAAGCUGAAAGACCAAAGAAAGAGGCUGACAAAUCCAGUCUCUCAGGAACAUUUAAUAGGGACUUACAAACAGAAACCAUGACUGUGUCUCAGGAAGCGGCAAGUGUUUCGGACAUUGAAGUUAGCAAAUGGGAAAUUGAGACAGCAAAUUUAGGAAAGAAAAUGGCCAGCAAAGGAUAACCAGACACUUGAAAUGUCCUCUAAUCGACAGAGAGAAAACCAAACUAGUAUAAAUAAGGGACCUGGGUUAUGCAGAAAUGACUCCAGGAGCAAAAGAAAGGUCUACAUCUUUAUCUGGAUCUGUAUCAGCGUCUUUAGUAGAAUGAAAGGAGAUAUUUCACCUGCCUGGACCGCGAAUUGCAAAAGGAACAACAUUGCACACAAAAGAAUUGUCCAAGAACAAGAAAAGAACUUUUAGAAAUUAAAGUAUUUGAAGUCCUUG